rnacentral:rRNA from 1 species
AUUGAACGCUGGCGGAAUGCUUUACACAUGCAAGUCGAACGGUAGAGGGGGCAACCCCUCAAGAGUGGCGAACGGGUGAGUAAUAUAUCGGAACGUGCCCAGUCGUGGGGGAUAACGUAGCGAAAGUUACGCUAAUACCGCAUACGAUCUAAGGAUGAAAGCGGGGGAUCGCAAGACCUCGCGCGAUUGGAGCGGCCGAUAUCAGAUUAGGUAGUUGGUGGGGUAAAGGCGCACCAAGCCAACGAUCUGUAGCUGGUCUGAGAGGACGACCAGCCACACUGGAACUGAGACACGGUCCAGACUCCUACGGGAGGCAGCAGUGGGGAAUUUUGGACAAUGGACGCAAGUCUGAUCCAGCCAUUCCGCGUGCAGGAUGAAGGCCCUCGGGUUGUAAACUGCUUUUGUACGGAACGAAAAGGUCUCUCUUAAUACGGGGGACUCAUGACGGUACCGUAAGAAUAAGCACCGGCUAACUACGUGCCAGCCGCCGCCGUAA